UAGUAAGUAAAACUACUUCAAACAAUUGUCUUAAUAUCUUUUUGAUUUGCUUCUGAUAUGAAUGAUUAAUGAUAUUUUCUUUUCUUACACUGCACAUUCUGAACAAGGGUCCUACUGGUGAGCCUGGUGUAAAAGGAGAAAAGGUAUAACUGCACAUAUGAUGUCAUAAACUGAGGAUACUGCUUCUUUUUUUCACCUUUUGUAAGAAUUUGUUAAUACUUAACUCAAAUUUGUCUUCAUCAGGGGGACAGUACUCCUGGAGAGCCUGGCACAAGGGGGUUGACAGGUUUCCCAGGAAGAAGAGGUGAAAAGGGAGCUCCAGGCAAUAAAGGAACUCUGGGAAACAUAGGUAUAAGAGGCUUACGUGGCAGCAAAGGUGAAAAGG